rnacentral:rRNA from 1 species
UGCGCAGGCGGACUUUUAAGUCAGUGGUGAAAUCCCGAGGCUCAACCUCGGAACUGCCAUUGAUACUGGAAGUCUUGAAUUUGGUUGAAGUGGGCGGAAUGUAGCAUGUAGCGGUGAAAUGCUUAGAUAUGCUACAGAACACCGAUCGCGAAGGCAGCUCACUAAGCCAAUAUUGACGCUCAGGAACGAAAGCGUGGGGAGCAAACAGGAUUAGAUACCCUGGUAGUCC